rnacentral:lncRNA from 1 species
UUCUAUAUAUAUGAGAGCUCUGAAGGCGUUAGAGGAGAAGCUAAGCGUUUGGUAGGCGCAAAACUUGCGUAGAGCCUUAAAGAUCGACCAUAAUAGCUGAUUUCCGGAAGGGGAAUCGCAAGCGACGAAGGAGAUGGUGAAGAUGGCGGCUUCUCUAAUCUUUUUAGUUUUGUCCGUAUCACCACUUUGGGCAGAUACAAAGCCUAAUAAACAGAAAAUCAAUAAGCCCAAAGUCCACUUUUUGUCGAAGUCCAUUCGUUACCCAUCAAUUUUUUUUUUUUUAAAAGAGGUGGGAUCCACAAUGUUAUAUUAGUUUCCGACCUUCAUAAUUUAUAUAUUAGUUUCGGCAAUCAACAUACAUAGUAUCCUUUAGUGCAGUGGUAUAAUUAUGGGUGUUUAUAUUUCAAUAAUCUGGAUUCGAGCUACAGAUUUGAUAUUUUUUUACACUUUUUA